UCGUGUCGUGAGAUGUUGGGUUAAGUCCCGCAACGAGCGCAACCCUCACCCCUUGUUGCCAUCAGGUGAUGCUGGGCACUCUAGGGGAACUGCCCCGGUCAACGGGGAGGAAGGUGGGGAUGACGUCAAGUCAUCAUGCCCCUUACGUCCUGGGCUACACACGUGCUACAAUGGCCGGUACAAAGGGAUGCCACACCGCGAGGUAGAGCUAAACCCAAAAAGCCGGUCUAAGUUCAGAUUGGAGUCUGCAACUCGACUCCAUGAAGGAGGAAUCGCUAGUAAUCGC
rnacentral:rRNA from 1 species